CAGGCCUAACACAUGCAAGUCGAACGAGACCUUCGGGUCUAGUGGCGCACGGGUGCGUAACGCGUGGGAAUCUGCCCCUUGGUUCGGAAUAACCGCUAGAAAUGGCGGCUAAUACCGGAUGACGACGUAAGUCCAAAGAUUUAUCGCCUUUGGAUGAGCCCGCGUAGGAUUAGCUAGUUGGUGGGGUAAAGGCCUACCAAGGCGACGAUCCUUAGCUGGUCUGAGAGGAUGAUCAGCCACACUGGGACUGAGACACGGCCCAGACUCCUACGGGAGGCAGCAGUGGGGAAUCUUGGUCAAUGGGCGCAAGCCUGAUCCAGCAAUGCCGCGUGAGUGAUGAAGGCCUUAGGGUUGUAAAGCUCUUUUACCCGGGAAGAUAAUGACUGUAUACGGGGGAAUAAGCCCCCGUUUAUCUUGGUGCCAGCAGCCGCGGUA
rnacentral:rRNA from 1 species